rnacentral:rRNA from 1 species
UACGGAGGGGGCUAGCGUUGUUCGAAUUACUGGGCGUAAAGCGCACGUAGGCGGCUUUGUAAGUUAGAGGUGAAAGCCCGGAGCUCAACUCCGGAAUUGCCUUUAAGACUGCAUCGCUUGAAUCAUGGAGAGGUGAGUGGAAUUCCGAGUGUAGAGGUGAAAUUCGUAGAUAUUCGGAAGAACACCAGUGGCGAAGGCGACUCACUGGACAUGUAUUGACGCUGAGGUGCGAAAGCGUGGGGAGCAAACAGGG